rnacentral:rRNA from 1 species
UGGGGAAUAUUGCACAAUGGGCGAAAGCCUGAUGCAGCAACGCCGCGUGCGGGAUGACGGCCUUCGGGUUGUAAACCGCUUUCAUCCAUGACGAAGCUAACGUGACGGUAGUGGAAGAAGAAGCACCGGCCAACUACGUGCCAGCAGCCGCGGUGAUACGUAGGGUGCAAGCGUUGUCCGGAAUUAUUGGGCGUAAAGAGCUUGUAGGCGGUUAAUCACGUCGGAAGUGAAAACUCAGGGCUCAACCCUGAGCCUGCUUCCGAUACGGGUUGACUAGAGGAAGGUAGGGGAGAACGGAAUUCCUGGUGGAGCGGUGGAAUGCUCAGAUAUCAGGAGGAACACCGGUGGCGAAGGCGGUUCUCUGGACCUUUCCUGACGCUGAGAAGCGAAAGCGUGGGUAGCAAACA